rnacentral:tRNA from 2 species
GCCGAGGUAGCUCAGCUUGGUUAGAGCGCCGGACUCAUAAUCCGGAGAUCGCGUGUUCGAAUCGCGCCCUCGGCACCA